AAAAAGGCCAUCAAAGAGAACACUUCCCAAAUCAUUUCAUGAAGUCAGUGUUACUCUGAUACCAAUACCAGAGAGACAUCACAAGAAAACCACAGACCAAUACCCUUUAUAAAUAUGGAGGCUAAAAUCCUCAACAAAAUACUAGCAAACUGAUUCCAUUUUAGGAUUAUACACAAUUAAAUGGAAUUCAUCCCAGGAAUGCAAGGCUGGCUUAAAAUCUGAAAACCAGUUAAUGUAAUACACCAUUCUGAGUAAAAUAAAAAAACAAAACCACAUGAUAAUCUCAAAAGACAGAGAAAAAGUAUCUGACAAAUGCUUUUGAGAAAAACAUGCAACAAACUAGGAAUAAAAGUCUAAUUCCUCAACCUGACAAACAGCAUCUAUGAAAAAAACCAUAGUUAACACUUAUUCCCAAAAUGAGGAAUAAAAACAAGGAUGUCUGCUCUCACUACUUCUAUUCAACAUUAUAUGAAGAGUCUGAUCAGGAUAACUAGACAAGAAAAAGAAAUAACAGGCAUCCAGAUUAAAAGGGGGAAGCAGACCUAUCUCCAUUUGCAGAUGACAUGAUCUCGUAUACAGGAAAUCCU